rnacentral:rRNA from 1 species
CCUACGGGUGGCAGCAGUGGGGAAUAUUGCACAAUGGGGGAAACCCUGAUGCAGCGACGCCGCGUGAGUGAAGAAGGAUUUCGGUAUGUAAAGCUCUAUCAGCAGGGAAGAAAAUGACGGUACCUGAGUAAGAAGCCCCGGCUAACUACGGGCCAGCAGCCGCGGUAAUACGUAGGGGGCAAGCGUUAUCCGGAUUUACUGGGUGGAAAGGGAGCGUAGACGGCAGCACAAGUCUGGAGUGAAAUGCCGGGGCUUAACCCCGGAACUGCUUUGGAAACUGUGCAGCUAGAGUGCCGGAGAGGUAAGUUGAUUUCCUCUUGUAGCGGUGACAUGCGUCGAUAUUAGGAGG